rnacentral:lncRNA from 1 species
AUGCCUUUCCAUUUGCCAGCUUCUAAUGGCGAACGGGCGCAGCUUGAAUUCCUGUUAAAGCGCAGACUAACAGCAGCGGUAUGUGGGUCCAGACCCCGUGGAGCACUUCUCCAUGUGGCACCGGGGCUGAUGGACACAGGAGCGACCUUGUGGUCAGGACGUAAAAACAAGCAGCUGGAGCAGAGUUCAGCAGAUGCACGGCGUCAGUCGAUGGAGGGCCCUCGAGCAAGGCACUUCCAGCACGUUUGGCGUCGCUCAGGGGGAGGAACGCAGCUGCUUUCACCCACAUCAGCAUCUGACAGAACAGACAGGACUCCAGAGCUACUGAACUGAAGGAUCAGCUGCACAUUUCAGGAUGAAGAGUCAACACGUUUACUAAAAGAUGCAGACAGAGGAGUCAAAUAAUUCAUCUUUACAAUAACUAAAAACACUUUUAGCAGAAGUUUAACGUUUCUUUGUUUAGUUCCCACUCAGAGGCCUCGUUUCAUUAAGACACCAUGGACGAACACAUGCAUAGAGUGAUGUGUUGGAAGCAUGGGUCCAGUUCCACUUCCUGAACACUUGCUCUGAGAAAAGUCCCUCAUCAACAAAGGCUGCGAUGACAAACCAUGCAGAGGAGCAGAGACUGUGCUCAGGUUGUAGGAACACAGCAGCCGUCCACUAAUUACUCCCUCGCUGACGUACAGGAAACAAUACAACUUUAUUUGUACAGUGGCGCUUUGUGCAACUCGCUGAGCAGAAUGUGAAAAAGCAGAACCUGAAAUCAAGAUGGAGAUUUAUGUUCUCUGUAAGUGAUUGUGCCUUUGGUUUGGACUAAUGAAUAAUUGUUGUUGAUGAGAACCAGCACUGCUGAUAAUUAGCUGGUGAAUGGAGGCAAAGACGCUGCAGCUCAGGUACUGAGCUUAAACCUGAGGCCACCAACACAGCUUUAAUGGUGCUAUUUUCAAAUUAGGUGUUCAGGUUAUUAAAAGCUUGGACGGCCGCAGGCACUUUAAAAACAAUACAGAGGGCAAUUAUUUUCAUAAAGUCAGGGCACAUGUGUGUUUGCUACUGCGCUCUUUAAUUAACUCAGGCUUCCUGAACAGAAAUGCUGCUGAUUGCAUUUUCCUAGAUGACAUGCGUGAGCCUCAGCAGGCGUCUCACCUUCUGCUGCGAUUGUGUUUAACAGAUUUAUUAAACAGAAUAGAUAUUAAUAUACCUGUUGAUUUAUGCCUCUGGCUUUUAUAUUCUGUGGUUUGGUUCUGUACAAGAGUUG